rnacentral:rRNA from 1 species
CCCUUAGACGUUCUGGGCCGCACGCGCGCUACACUGACCAGUGCAACAAGCAUCCGUCCUUGGCCGACAGGCUCGGGCAAUCUUUGAACGCUGGUCGUGAUGGGGAUAGACUUUUGCAAUUUUUGGUCUUCAACGAGGAAUUCCUAGUAAACGCAAGUCAUCAACUUGCAUUGACUACGUCCCUGCCCUUUGUACACACCGCCCGUCGCACCUACCGAUUGAAUGGUCCGGUGAAGCCUCCGGAUUGGCGCGCACCUCGGUGCCGCCGAGAAGUUGGCUAAACCUUACCAUUUAGAGGAAGGUGAAGUCGUAACA